rnacentral:rRNA from 1 species
UACGAAGGGGGCUAGCGUUGUUCGGAAUCACUGGGCGUAAAGCGCACGUAGGCGGAUUGUUAAGUCAGAGGUGAAAUGCCAAGGCUCAACCUUGGAACUGCCUUUGAUACUGGCAAUCUCGAGUCCGGGAGAGGUGAGUGGAACUGCGAGUGUAGAGGUGAAAUUCGUAGAUAUUCGCAAGAACACCAGUGGCGAAGGCGGCUCACUGGCCCGAUACUGACGCUGAGGCACGAAAGCGUGGGGAGCAAACAGG